GACGAACCACACGAACGUUAUUCGGAAUUACUGGGCUUAAAGGGUGCGUAGGCUGUGCAGAAAGUUAGGUGUGGAAUCCCCCGGCUCAACCGGGGAAUUGCGCUUAAAACUACUGUGCUAGAGGAAUACAGAGGUGAGCGGAACUUCGGGUGGAGCGGUGAAAUGCGUUGAUAUCCGAAGGAACACCGGUGGCGAAAGCGGCUCACUGGGUAUUUUCUGACGCUGAUGCACGAAAGCUAGGGGAGCAAACGGG
rnacentral:rRNA from 1 species